CCUACGGGAGGCAGCAGUGAGGAAUAUUGGUCAAUGGACGAGAGUCUGAACCAGCCAAGUAGCGUGAAGGAUGACUGCCCUAUGGGUUGUAAACUUCUUUUAUAUGGGAAUAAAAUGUUCCACGUGUGGGAUUUUGUAUGUACCAUAUGAAUAAGGAUAGGCUAACUCCGUGCCAGCAGCCGCGGUACUACGGAGGAUCCGAGCGUUAUCCGGAUUGAUUGGGUUUAAAGGGAGCGUAGGUGGAUUGUUAAGUCAGUUGUGAAAGUUUGGGGCUCAACCGUAGAAUUGCAGUUGAAACUGGCAGUCUUGAGUACAGUAGAGGUGGGCGGAAUUCGUGGUGUAGCGGUGAAAUGCUUAGAUAUCACGAAGAACACCGAUUGCGAAGGCAGCCCCCUGGACUGCAACUGACACUGAGGCUCGAAAGUGUGGGUAUCAAACAGGAUUAGAUACCCCUGUAGUC
rnacentral:rRNA from 1 species